rnacentral:rRNA from 1 species
ACUCCUACGGGAGGCAGCAGUGGGGAAUUUUGAGCAAUGGGCGAAAGCCUGACCCAGCAACGCCGCGUGAAGGACGAAAUCCCUCGGGAUGUAAACUUCGCAAGAACGGGAAGAAUAAGUAGGGGACAAUACCCCCUAUGAUGACGGUACCGUUUGUAAGCUCCGGCUAACUCCGUGCCAGCAGCCGCGGUAAUACGGGGGGAGCAAGCGUUGUUCGGAUUUACUGGGCGUAAAGGGCGCGUAGGCGGUCAGCACAAGUCAAUUGUGAAAUCUCCGAGCUUAACUCGGAAAGGUCAACUGAAACUGUGCGACUAGAGUGCGGAAGGGGCAACUGGAAUUCUUGGUGUAGCGGUGAAAUGCGUAGAUAUCAAGAGGAACACCUGCGGCGAAGGCGGGUUGCUGGGCCGACACUGACGCUGAAGCGCGAAAGCCAGGGGAGCGAACGGGAUUAGAUACCCCGGUAGUCCUGGCCUUAAACGAUGAAUGCUUGGUGUCUGGGGUUAUAAAGUCCCCGGGUGCCGUCGCUAACGCUUUAAGCAUUCCGCCUGGGGAGUACGGUCGCAAGACUGAAACUCAAAGGAAUUGACGGGGACCCGCACAAGCGGUGGAGCAUGUGGUUUAAUUCGACGCAACGCGAAGAACCUUACCUGGGCUAGAAUGCCUCUGACAACCCUAGAGAUAGGGCCUCCAAGGUAAAACUUGGCAGAGUGCAAGGUGCUGCAUGGCUGUCGUCAGCUCGUGUCGUGAGAUGUUGGGUUAAGUCCCGCAACGAGCGCAACCCUUAUCUUUAGUUGCCAGCAUUAAGUUGGGCACUCUGGAGAGACUGCCGUUGACAAAACGGAGGAAGGUGGGGAUGACGUCAAGUCCUCAUGGCCUUUAUGUCCAGGGCUACACACGUGCUACAAUGGCCGGUACAAACCGCCGCAAACUCGCAAGAGGGAGCCAAUCGGAAAAAG